GUCUGGUUGAGUCUAUUCUCUCCUCUGUACAAGGACAAGAUCACAUCUUGCACACAUCUGAACAGCUCGAGCUUUAGAGCAAUGAACCAUUUGUUUGGAUGGACAAGGCUCAUGCUGCUAUGUUUCGUAAUUGAUGUUCUCUGUGCUUCCCAGCAAACAGUCAACUCUGAGACUCAGCAGGUGAAAGGCAUCAUGGGAAAGUCUUUAUCUUUUCCAGAGAGAGUGUUUAAAACUGGAUAUUUAAGGUAUGGAGAAGACACUACUGCAAGUGUGAUCAAUGGACAAAGCCAUAUAGAUUCAGAUGAGAGAUUUAAAAAUCGCCUUCACUGGGACAAUGUGACAGGAUUAUUCAGUCUGUCAGACCUACAGAUUGAAGAUGCUGGGGUUUAUUCUGUGGAGAAUAAAGACGGAGAGAAGAGGAUACCUAAAUUUAACCUCACUCUUUACUAUUUUGUUUCCAAACCUCAGGUGAGAGAGUGUGACAGCAGCUCCUGUAGUGUGGUGUGUUCUGUGGACAAUGAAAAAGAGGUGACCUUGACCUUGUACAGGGGAGAGGAAAUACUCAACCAAACCAGCAGUCCUGAUCUCACCACCGAUCUUCUCUCCGUUUGGAGGUAGAGGGAAAGAACUACAACUCCACCUACAGCUGUGUGGCUUCCAACCCUGUCAGCAAUGAGACAGUUCUUGUCCCAAAAUGUUGCAGUGAAGGUCAUCCCAAGGAGACAGACAUGAAUGAGAGGACUCUGGGUGUGCUUAUUAUUGCUGUAUUCUGCGUUGUGGUUGCCUCAGGACUGGUUGGACUCGCAAUCAAUCAAAAGAAGAGGGGAAAUGAACACUCACAAGGCAGG